UAAUCUCACUACGAUUGACUUUGUCGUCUUUCUGUAUGUGGACUUGGAUGUUGUCGUGGAUAUCCACGACUCGUCUGAAAUGCUUGAGUGUACCCUGCUUUGCGGCGUAUUCGGUGUGAUACAUCUUCACCGGAGUUGAUCCUUUUGGGUCGCGUCUAUACAAGUGUGGCUCUAUGCUUCCAACCGUCUUCCAGGAGACAAUGUUUGACA
rnacentral:misc_RNA from 1 species